CCUAUAAAGGCCAGACCAGCUUCAGCCUUAGGCUAAUUUCUCCUAAGGGUCACACGAUUUUAAGAAAAUAGAAGACUAUCAUUUACAGCUGGUGUGGCCCUGUGGCGGUGUGGACCCAGAUUUCAAGCACAGAGGAAGAUCAGACACUGAUGUCCCGCAUCUGAUAUGUAUAUAACACAAUUCUCAAUUAUCCUUUGAUUGUGUUUUACUCCCUUCUGUACAAUAGACUCAUUUUUAAAGACAAAUGAAGAAUUCAGAGCCCAAUCCUAACCUCAAGCCAAGAAGUAAGAAAAGGAAGAAAAAAUCAAGAAACUCAGAACAGAACCCCAGCAACAUUGAACCAAGGAGCAUGGACUCUCAGGCUGUUCAUAGAUUUCAGGAUCUUUUCCACUACUUCCACAGGCAGAUAGAGGGCCAUCCCCACCACCGUCUCUACCACCACCGUCUCUUCCCAGAGGAGUUUUUACUCUUCCUCCAACUCCUUUACCUGAGCUAAGUGGUAAACCAUCAUCAUCACCAUCACCUUUGGAGACCUCCUCUACCACCACCUUUGUUGAGAGACCUACUCUCCAGGAUCCCCACCUGCUCUGUCUUAUGGAGUGAAACAGAAAUAAAUGUGUAAGACUCAAUUACAUAUGUUGAUUCUUGAACUACAUGAGAAUUCUCCUUGAAGAGAAUC
rnacentral:lncRNA from 1 species